CUGAAAAGUAAUAAUAUUUACAAUAAUAUUUACAAUAUAAACUCAUAAAUUAUAAUAUCACAGAUUGAUGGAGAAAUCAUCCUACUCUUCUAAUAUAUACACACACAUAUAUAUAUAUAUAUAUAUAUGCAUGUUCUUGUAUAUUGUAUAUGAAACAAAUAAGAGAUUUAAUAAAAUAGUAAUUUAUGUAUAGUAA